GCGCCUGUAGUCCCAGCUACUUGGGGGGCUGAGGCAGGAGGAUCGUUGGAACCCAGGAGGUCAAGGCUACAGUGAGCCGAGAUCACACUACUGUACUCCAGCUGGGGUGACAAAGUGAGACCCUGUCUCAAAAAAAAAAAAAAAAAAAAGUACAUAUUGUUUCUGCUCUUAAUGGAUAUUUGUGUUGUUUCCAAUUUGGUGUUAUUGAAAAUAUUGCUGCUAUACACAUUCUUGAACACGUGUGUUUGUGUACACUUACACACACAUCUAUAUAUUUAUUUGAGAGACUGGAUCUCCCUCUGUUACCCACACUGGAGCGCAGUGAUAUGAUCAUAGCUCACUGCAGCCUUGAACUCCUGGGCUCAAGUGAUCCUCCUGCCAUCACUUUCUUAGUAGCAGUGUGUGCCACCAUGCUGGCCAAUUUUCUUUAUUUUUUGUAGCAAUGGUGUCUCGCUAUGUUGCCCAAGUUGGUCUCAAACUCCUGAUUUCAAGUGAUCCUCUAGCCUUGGCCUCCCAACGCACUGGAAUUAGAGGUGUGAGCCACCGGGCCCAAUCAGCUUACACAUAUCUUAUAUACUGUGAGUGGAACUGCUUGAUGACAAGAAUACAAAUGUUCAAAUUUAGUUGACAAUGUCAAGGCAUUUUCUAAGAUACAUUUACCAGUUUAUAUUCUAACCAGCAGUGAUGAGAUGUCCUGUUAUUCCACAUUCCCAUCCCAGUCUUAUUAAACUUUUUAAUUUUGGCAUUUCAGUGGGUAUACAGUGGCAUCUCAUUGCAUUUCCUUGGUUACUAAUGAGAUGGAGCACUUUUUUAUUUUUAAUUGGCCAUUUGGAUAUUCAUGCCUCUUGCUAAUUUUUCUUGGUUUUCACCCCACUUUUUUUUUUUAUAUGUAACACAUGGCCUUUAAAAUUUGGCCUUCCAACUUAGAUUUCUUUUCUUUCUUUUCUUUUCUUUUCUUUUCUUUUCUUUUCUUUUCUUUUCUUUUCUUUUCUUUUCUUUUGAGAUGGGGUCUUACUCUGUUGCCGAGGCUGGAGUGCAGUAAUGUGAUCAUUACUCACUGCAGCCUCGACCUCCUAGACUCAAACAAUCUUUCCACCUCAGCUUUCUGAGUAACUGGGACUACAGGCAUGUGCCAGCAUGCCUGGCUAUUUUUUUUUUUAAUUAUUUUGUAGACACAGGGUCUUGUUAUAUCUUCCAGGCUGGCCUUGAACUCCCAGUCUCAAGUGAUCCUCCUGCCUCAACCUCCCAAAGUGCUGUAAUUACAGAUAUGAGCCACUGCACCUGCCCCCAACUUAGAUUUCAUAUAAACAAAAUUACUCUGCUUUUCUGUCCUAACCGAUAGUGUUGCAACAAACAAAUCCCUUCCACAGCUUUUCACUAGGUACUUGAAACAGGAUUCCUCUUUAGACAUAAGUGGGAAAAAAAACUCAAUUCAAGCUGGGCGCGGUGGCUCACGCCUGUAAUCCCAACACUUUGGGAGGCCAAGGCGGGUGGAUCACCUGCGGUCGGAGUUCGAGAACAGCCCAGCCAACAUGGUGAAACCCUGUAUCUACUAAAAAUACAAAAAAAAUUAGCCAGGCAUGGUGGCGGGUGCCUGUAAUCCCAGCUACUCAGGAAGCUGAGGCAGGAGAAUCACCUGAACCCUGGGAGGCAGAGAUUGCAAUGAGCUGAGAUCACACCAAUGCAAUCCAGCCUGGGUGACAAGAGCAAGACUCCAUCUCAAACAACAACAACAACAACAAAACUCCUCAAUUCAUGCCCAGGAAAAAAUGUUAACCCCCAAAGUUCCAAUUCUCAUCAAGUUUCAGCAGAUUUUCAACACUAGAAACAGAUGACUUCGAAUUUCUAUAGAAGUUUCAGUGUUGACCAAGACACAUGUUUCUCAUUAAACUUUAUUUUAAUAGUUCUCAACAUUCUGUGGCAGAUUUUUUGCCAAGUUGUUUCCACUUAUUUAGUAUUUUGAGACAGGGUCUUGCUCUGUCACCCAGGAUGGAGUGCAGUGGCCCAGGAUGGAGUGCAGUGGCACAAUCAUGGCUCACUGCAGCUUUGACUUCCCUGGGCUCAAGUGAUUCUCCUGCCUCGGCCUCCCGAGGAGCUGGGACUACAAGCGUGUGCUACCACACCUGACUAAUUUUUGUGUGUGUGUUUUAUGUAGAGAUGGGGUCUAGCUAUGUUGCCCGGGAUGGUUUCAAAUUCCUGGGCUCAAGUGAUCCACCUGCCUUGGCUUCCCAGAAUGCUGGGAUUACAGGUGUUAGCCACCAUGCCCAACCUGAGUUGUUUCUAUUUAAAAGGACUGAUUUUAAAAACUAAUAACUUAAAACUGACACACACACAAACACGCGCGCACACACAAACACGCGCGCACACACACACAUUGUGUGGUGUGUGGUCUACAAAAUAUUCUCCUUUCUUUCUGAAGGUUUUACGGUGCAUUUUUAUCAUUAACCAGUCUUUUACUAUCAAGCUUAAAUGGCCUAUUGAGACAAACAGUUCUGAGACCAUUCUUCCACCACUGAUUAAGACUGGGGGCAGGUAGGAGGGAUACUAUUCAUUUAGCCUGUUGAGCUUUCCGGGGAAGACUCAGUGACUUUGCCAGCUCUGGCAGGCUUCUUGUGCACUGCUUUGAUGAUACCCACAGCAACUGUGUGUCUCACAUCAUAAACAGCAUAACAACUCAGAGGAGAAUAGUCAGAGAAGCUCUCAGCACACGUGAGCUUGCUAGGAACCACAUCAAUGACGGCAACAUUAGCUGAGUUCAAGAAUUUGGGGCCAUCUUCCAGCUUCUUACCAGAACAGCAAUCAGUCUCCUUUAAGCUUAGCAAACCUGAGAUCGUGCCACUGCACUCCAGCCUGGGUGACAGAACGAGACUCUGUCUCAAAAAAAAAAAAAAAAGUGGUUUUUACUGUAGAUUUUUGUAAAUAGCCUUUAUCAGAUAAAGGAAAUUCUUUUCUCGUUCCAGUCUCCUAAGAGUUUCUAUGAUGAAUUGAUGGUGCAUUAUUUUAAGAGCCUGGAAGACACAGGCCUUGUACUCAUAAAGAUCUAUGAAAGGAAAACAGAGGCCUGUGUAAGCAUGUGAAAGAAGGUACCUUUUUACUUUGUCCUUAGUUUAAAAUGGAAUAGACUAUAGAUCACAAAAUAUCUAUUCUUUUUUUUAGAGACAGGGUCUCAUGCUGUUGCCUAGGCUGGAGUGUAGUGGUGCAAUCAUAGCUCACUGCCACCUUGACUCCUGGGCUGCAGCUAGGACUACCAGUGUGCACCACCACACCCAGCUUAUUUGUAAAUGUUUUGUAGAGGCGGGGUCUUGCUGUGCUGCCCAGGUUCAAAAUAUCUAUUUAAACUGAACAAGUUGAGCAAAAGAGACUCCAGGUACCCGUUAUCUGUUUUCCUAUUAUAAAAAUGACAUUAAAAAGAACUUCGUGUUUUUUAAAGCCUUCAAGCUACAAUAUCUUGAUAGGAUUUUGGUUGUUUUUAUCCUGAUAUUAAUUUCCAGUAAUGAGAAUGGUGAAAGGAAAUUAGAAAGCUAACAAUAGCAAACAACAACACUGCCAUGUCUCCAAAUCUCCAGAAGGUGGAGGCAGUGAGCCACUGAGAUUUCAGACCAACAGGUUUUUCUGCUUUCAAAGGCCAGUAACCAACCUGAGUUGUGCGGAGAGGUUGGCCUAUCUAGCCAUUUUAUCCUCUUUCAAUUAUUUAAUGUGUAGCACUCCCAGGCAGAAAUAGUCCUCACUAAAGCAGUGUUUUGUAAGGGUGCUUCUUCCCUGGUUUUGAUCACACUGGUCUACAAUGCUUGGAUAGGGUCCACUCAAUCCAUGUAAAUAUAACAAUAUCUGCUGGGCACAGUGGCUCACACCUGUAAUCCCAGCACUUUGGGAGGCUGAGGUGGGCGGAUCACAAGGUCAGGAAUUUGAGACCAGCCUGGCCAAUACGGUGAAACCUCGUCUCUACUAAAGUUACAAAAAUUAGCCGGGCGUGGUGGUGCACGCCUCUAGUCCCAGCUACUCAGGAGGCUGAGGCAGAAGAAUCACUUGAACCUGGGAGGCGGAGAUCGCAGUCAGCCGGGAUCGUGCCACUGCACUCCAGCCUGGGCGACAGAGUGAGACUCUGUCUCCAAAAUAAAUAAAUAAAUAAAUAAAUAAAUAAAUAAAUAAAUAAAUAAAUAAAAAUAUCUGGAAGGGCUCUUUGGACGAAUGGCAACAGGAUUCAUUUGAAACAACUAACCUCACACCAUUGAAUGAAUGAGUAAACAUGUAAAUGUAUCGCUAUACAAUUGCCUCAGUCUGCUCAGGCUGCCAUUACAGAAUGCUAUGGACUGGGUGGUUUAAAUAAUAGAAAUUUAUUUUCUCACAGUUCUGGAGGCUGGGAAGGCCAAGAUCAAGGUGCCAACUGAUUCAGUUCCUGAUGAGGGCUCUCUUUUGGGCUUGCAGAUGGCCCCCUUCUCACUGUGUCCUCACAUGUUAGAGUGACAGAGAGCAAGCUGUCUGUGUUGCUUCUUAUAAGGGUACCAAUCCCAUCAUUAGUGCCACACCCUCAUGACCCCAUCUAACCCUAAUUACCUCUCAAAGGCCCCAUCUCAAAAUACCCUCACAUCAGGGUUUGGGGCUUCAACUUAUGAAUUUGGAGAGGGGAGCAUAAGUGUUCAGUCUAUAAAACAACAACUAACUGCAAAGAUGUAUAGUGGGUUGCUCAGGAAGGAGCUGGCAAAGCUCUUAGCUCUACUGAAGAGAAUUCAUGUAUUUCUGGUCCAGUGGGGAUUCUUUUCUUCCCUGAUUCGCUGCUGUGCAUCUGAGCCUUUUUCUAUCCUCUGCCAUCUGUCCUGAACCUGGAGAAUUCUUUUAUCAAGUUUCUUAUCCCUUAUAACAAAAAGUUUUUAAUCUUCCUUCUACCUACUCUCAGAUAUCACUUUAAAGUAGAAUUUUAAUCACACUGUGGCUAAGUGGGUUUACUUAUUCCAGAAACUUUGCAAAAUCCAAACCACCUACUUUUCUUGUUUUUCUCGGUCAAUAACUUUUAUAGCUUUUGUUAUGGCUCGUUUUUCACUGGAUAUCAAAGUUCACUUAAUUAUAAUCCUUGGUCAUGACUCAUUUUUUUUUUUUCAGAUGGAGUUUCGCUAUAUGGCCCAGGCUGGAGUGCAGUGGCGUAAUCUCAGCUUCACUGCAACUUCUGCUUCCUGGGUUCAAGUAAUUCUACUGCCUCGGUCUCCCAAGUAGCUAGGAUUACAGCUACCACCCCUUCAGAGUUUGUGCAGCCGACUGAUUUUACUCCUGAGGACACCUGCAGCAGCAGUCAGAAGCACUACAGCGAAUGCCUUUUGGAUGGUAACAAUCUUUUCCUGACUGUGGUCUAUCAGGAAGCAUGCCACGUCUUCCAAUCCCUUCAGGUUCUCUACAUGGAUCAAUGCAAGGAGAAUCCCCACCCAAGAGCGAGGGCUGGAGGCAAGUUUCCUGACAGGCAGUCAGCUUUGUUUCACCAUCUCCUCCUGGGUAUCUCUGUUGAAUCACCAAUGCCACUUCCCUGUAGACUCCAGGGAGGCUUGACUCACCUACAGAUACCGCACAAGUCCUUUAAACCUCUAUUGUUGUUAUUAAUUCCUUUUAAUUUGUGUUUAGUCACUUUAUUGGCUACUCCUACAAUUUAUAAUAAUAGUAAUGAUAAUAGUAGUUGUGGAGGUAGUAGCACUAGUAAUAGUGACAGUAUUAUCCCUAUAUUAUUAUUAUUAUUAUUUUGAGACAGGGUCUCGCUCUGUUGCCCAGGCUGGAGUGCAGUGGUGCAAUCUCGGCUCACUGCAACCUCCGCCUCCUGGGUUCAAGUGAUUUUCAUGCCUCAGCCUCCCAAGUAGCUGGGAUUACAGGUGCCCGCCACCAUGCCCGGCUAAUUUUUGUAUUUUUAGUAGAGAUGGGGUUUUACCAUGUCGGCCAGGCUGGUCUCGAAUGCCCACCUCAGCCUCCCGAAGUGCUGGGAUUACAGGUGUGAGCCACUGUGCCAGGCCAGUGUUACCCCUAUAUUAUAUUGAGGGGUUACUCUGUGCCAGACACUAUACUAAGUGUUUAACAUGGAUUAUUUAAUUCAUGUAUAUGUAUGAAUUUCGAACUUUUUGGAUUUUAGUUAGGUAAUAUAUUGCAUAUACUAUAUAGUAUGGAACUCAAUCAGCAGGGUCUGGGUAACAACUUGUAAUCAAGUAAAUGUGUAUAUUUGCAGUGAAAUGUGUGACUAUACUAAAUUACAGAGACUACAAGUAGCCUCAAAUCAUUUCAGAUCAGAUCUGUGACCAAAUGAAUCCAGGUACGGUUGGGUUUUGGCACAGAAAGUCUUAGAAAGAAACUUGCAGUUUUUAGAGAAUUUUCGAUUUUGGAUCCACAGGUAAGGAACUGUGGACCUACAGCAUAAUUAUUUCACAGAUGAUACAAUUAAGACCACAAAAAAGCAGUAAAGAUCAGGUAGUAGUAGUAGUAGUAAUCAAUCAAGGAUUUUUCCUUUCCAUGUGUGUAACCAGUUGUUCAGCACCAUUCAUUCAAAAAGAUGUUCUUUUCCCCAUUUAAUUGUCUUGGUGACUGUAUCAUCUCCAGGCUGUUUAUUCUGUUCAUUGAUCUGUCUGUCCUCACACCAACAGCACACC